rnacentral:lncRNA from 1 species
UUUUGUUUUUGGCCCUCUCUAGUUUUCUUCUUUCCAAUCCUUCUCUAACCUCUUUCAUUGCAUCCUUUACUAAUCCUGUCUUAUCUACACAGAAGCAACAUUCUUCCUUCAGGGCAGCACAGAGACCAACUUGUUGAAGGAGAAGUGAUCUAUUCCCCUGCGGUUUUGAAGGACUACCUUACUUAGGGACCGUAGAAAGUCUGUAAGAAUAACAUUUUGGUGCCCGGACGUGGAAAGGCUCUGCCCUUAUACCUUCUGCGACCUGCUGGCGGGCACAUGUUAGGCUAAGUGUAACCUUACAAUCCACUUCCAUCUCCGCUUUACCUGGCACUCCCUCCUGCCUGCAACAGCCUGAGAUGCCGGAACUCAACUUGCGGCUUUUCCAACUAAGUAUUUCUGGAACUCACUGAUCUGCCUAUUCGCUACAAUCCGGAUUCUUGUAAGUUCCAGGGAGCCGAAUCAGAUCCCAACAGGUCAGGUUCACUCCAGGUCUAAGAGGCGCCAGGGAGUUGCAUACAGCCUGGACUACAAUGAAACAACCAGCUUCCCCAGGACGUGGCAGCACCCCAACCUUCUCGGGUCCCCCAAAGAUGGUCAACGCCCCCACGUCAGCAGGAAGCAGUCUUAAGAAUUCGACGCCCUUAUUCCUUAACCUGCCAUGUCUAAACAC